rnacentral:rRNA from 1 species
GACGAACGCUGGCGGCGUGCCUAACACAUGCAAGUCGAACGGGGGAACAUGAAGUAUUUCGGUACGGAAUGCGCCCCUAGUGGCGAACGGGUGAGUAACACGUGGGCAACCUGCCCCAGACUGGGGGAUAACAUUGUGAAAACAGUGCUAAUACCGCAUGACAGGGUUCCGGGCAUCCGGGACCCUUGAAAGGAGAAAUCCGGUCAGGGAUGGGCCCGCGUCCAAUUAGCUAGUUGGCGGGGUAACGGCCCACCAAGGCGACGAUUGGUAGCCGAACUGAGAGGUUGAUCGGCCACAUUGGGACUGAGACACGGCCCAGACUCCUACGGGAGGCAGCAGUGGGGAAUAUUGGGCAAUGGGCGAAAGCCUGACCCAGCGACGCCGCGUGAAGGAUGAAGGUCUUCGGAUUGUAAACUUCUUUGAUCAGGGAAGAAAGAAAUGACGGUACCUGAAAAACAAGCCACGGCUAACUACGUG